rnacentral:rRNA from 1 species
CGCACGGGUGAGUAACACGUGAAUAAUCUACCUCCGAGUGGGGAAUAACUGAGAGAAAUCUUAGCUAAUACCGCAUAACACUUACGAGUCAAAGCAGCAAUGCGCUUGGAGAGGAGUUCGCGGCCGAUUAGCUAGUUGGCGGGGUAAUGGCCCACCAAGGCGAUGAUCGGUAUCCGGCCUGAGAGGGCGCACGGACACACUGGAACUGAAACACGGUCCAG